UUUGCUAGUCACCAUUAUCGUGAACGCCACUGUGGUCAAUUGAUCAACUACAAUGUCAAAUCUGUUUUACCAUCAAAUUAUCUCAUUGUCAAGGUAACAGGAAGUUGACGCCGACGGAGGCGGGAACGUCAGACGUCGCGAUGCACCUGUGACGUGCAAAUCGCCGUUGGUGGAGCGGCGUUAAGCCGUUUUCCUCCGAAAAAAAAAAUAUCAAAAGAAACAAAAGAAAAAAAACACAUAACGUUGAUUGAGAGAGAAGAUAAGCGUUUUGAUAAACCCCCUAUAAAACGGCAACACACCACACGUUUAUAUCGUCUCUGUUGCAAGGUUUGCUUUUAUUCAGGGGCUUGUAGACAUAAUGAAAUUCUCUCACGAAACGCAUAUAUUUGAAGCAACGUGCGUGUUUCUUGUAUCUAGUCGUUGGAUAUUUCGUUAAGUCGCUUAGAUGAUAUACGCAAGAAUGAUCGAAGAUAAACAGAAAAAUAUUACAAAGUGUGUAUAUAUGUUCUUUAUCCUAUUCGACGUAUAUCAAUAUUAGAUUUAUCGAACUAUUUUUCUUUUCUUUUCUUUUCUUUUUUCUUUUUGAAGUGAACAUUUCUUUAGAAUCAGGGUGAUUUGAAAGAUUGUGAAAUGGAAGAACGUCAAACUGAUGAAACAAAAAUAAUUAAUUAAUUAAUAAAAUUCAGUGUCACAAUAUGUUUGUCAACUAAUAGUUUCGAAACUACUCAAACUUAUUUUCAUGAAAUUGAUUUUAUU